CAGUGGCCGAGUGGAUUACGCGAUGGCGUUUGAAGCCAAUUGUACUGGGUUCGAGUCCCAGAGUGAA
rnacentral:tRNA from 1 species